rnacentral:misc_RNA from 1 species
GUGAAUCAUCGAAUUUUUGAACGCAAAUUGCACUCUUUUCGGAGAGUAUGCCCGCUUGAGGGUCAGUACUAAUAAAAAUCGGUGUGUUGCUCUUUUGUGACGCUCCGGCGCUUGGGUCAUCCUAAUACCCUUUAGGUUUUAAGAGGCUCAACAUUGACUUCUUUUGCGCAUCUUAGAUGUACAUAAAUUUUUUUUUUUAUCAGUCUGUCUUAAUGCCCAAAAUCUUAUAAGAUGCGACCAUAUCGUGAGGUUUUGUGUCU